CGGCGGACGGGUGAGUAACACGUGGGCAACCUGCCUGUAAGACUGGGAUAACUCCGGGAAACCGGAGCUAAUACCGGAUAACAUUUUCUCUUGCAUAAGAGAAAAUUGAAAGAUGGUUUCGGCUAUCACUUACAGAUGGGCCCGCGGUGCAUUAGCUAGUUGGUGAGGUAACGGCUCACCAAGGCAACGAUGCAUAGCCGACCUGAGAGGGUGAUCGGCCACACUGGGACUGAGACACGGCCCAGACUCCUACGGGAGGCAGCAGUAGGGAAUCUUCCGCAAUGGACGAAAGUCUGACGGAGCAACGCCGCGUGAGUGAUGAAAGCCCUUUUCUGGUUCGUAAACUCUGUUGUAGGGAGACGAGUACAAGUAGUACUGCUUGUACGUGACGGUACCUAACCCAGAAAGCCACGGCUAACUACGUGCCAGCAGCCGCGGUAAUACGUAGGUGGCAAGCGUUAUCAGGAAUUAUUGGGCGUAAAGCGCGCGCAGGCGGUUUCUUAAGUCUGAUGUGAAAGCUCACCGGCUCAACCGUGGAGGGUCAUUGGAAACUGGGGAACUUGAGUGCAGAAGAGAAAAGCGGAAUUCCACGUGUAGCGGUGAAAUGCGUAGAGAUGUGGAGGAACACCAGUGGUGAAGGCGGCUUUUUGGUCUGUAACUGACGCUGAGGCGCGAAAGCGUGGGGAGCAAACAGGAUUAGAUACCCUGGUAGUCCACGCCGUAAACGAUGAGUGCUAAGUGUUAGAGGGUUUCCGCCCUUUAGUGCUGCAGCUAACGCAUUAAGCACUCCGCCUGGGGAGUACGGUCGCAAGACUGAAACUCAAAGGAAUUGACGGGGGCCCGCACAAGCGGUGGAGCAUGUGGUUUAAUUUGAAGCAACGGGAAGAACCUUACCAGGUCUUGACAUCCUCUGACAACUUUAGAGAUAGAGCGUUCCCCUUCGGGGGACAGAGUGACAGGUGGUGCAUGGUUGUCGUCAGCUCGUGUCGUGAGAUGUUGGGUUAAGUCCCGCAACGAGCGCAACCCUUGAUCUUAGUUGCCAGCAUUAAGUUGGGCACUUUAAGGUGACUGCCGGUGACAAACCGGAGGAAGGUGGGGAUGACGUCAAAUCAUCAUGCCCCUUAUGACCUGGGCUACACACGUGCUACAAUGGAUGGUACAAAGGGCUGCAAGACCGCGAGGUCAAGCCAAUCCCAUAAAACCAUUCUCAGUUCGGAUUGUAGGCUGCAACUCGCCUACAUGAAGCUGGAAUCGCUA
rnacentral:rRNA from 1 species